UUAAACUAUGUUUUGGAUUCAGACACAGACUCUACAGCAUAAAUACGGCGCCGAAGCGCCGAAGCACGUUUCGCUUCCACAGGUUUGAAGGGUUGAAGGCCAAAAGGCCAUUCAGUAAUGAUCCCUCCGCAGGUUCACCUACGGAGA
rnacentral:misc_RNA from 1 species